ACUGUGUGUGUCCAGUUGUGAUUGGAAUACAUUGUAGAAACUCAAGUAAAUAUCUUCUAAUGACUCAAUGAAUUGAUUUAUUUGGGAUGCUUUAUAAAAAGUAUAACUUUUUCCUAAUGCAGAAUGUCCUAGUAGAAAUAAAAAAAUACAGGAUAUCAAUAAUUCAUAGCAUUCCCAAGGAAGGAUACAAGUAAUCGUAUUAAGUAAAAUGAUAAAAUAAUACAAGUCUUAAUGUUGAUGCCCAACAUCAAGCCAUUUUUAAGAAUCACAAGCAGUGCAGCAGUAUUAUUGCUGAUGCUUUAAAGCUGAGCCAUUUUUUCUUAGAUAUUUAUAGGAUGGCUUUGUAGGUAAAAUACAGGAGUAAAUACCUGUGCUAGGUUGUUUUAUUGUGCAGUUAUUCAUUCUUCCUUUCCUGUAAGAAAAUUAUACAUUGUUGCUCAUUGACAUCAGGCUUAAGGGGCCCCUUAUGGACAGAAUAUAUAUUCUCUGCUCUAUUGAUGUUUGACCUGACCACGUGAUGUGCUUUAGUCAAUGGAAUAAAUGUAGGCAUGAUGUAUACUGUUUUUGAGAAGAAACUUUAAAAGGUACUAAUGAAAUUUCUUUGCCUGUUUGUUUCUGCUUUCUGUAUGGGUCCUGGAAUAAAAAUAUAUGGAUGAGGAUUGCAGCUGACUUCAGCCUACGUGCAGUUUGAAUAUUAAGCAGAAACAUGAGUCAGUCUGACAAUAACCAUAGACGAAUGAGAUUCCAUACCACUUCAGGAGGCACACGUUAUCUUCUGUGGCCUGACUCCUACCAUAUCAGUGUACUCUCAACCAGAAAACUGUUACAGAAGAUGUCCGAGCAUAUGGAAAAGAAACUUGAACAUGGAACAAGGAGACACGGGUUCAGCCUCUGGGCAAGUAAGUCUUAAUCUUGUUAUUUUAAUACCAUAUAUUGAAUGCUUUCUGUGCUGAGAGUGUUGUAUACAUUCAUUUAAUCCUCACACUAACUGUAUGAUGCAGGCCAUCUUAUCUUUAACUACCUUCCUGUCUAUCUACCUAUAUAGUUAAUAAUCCUAGUUGACAAAACUGAGACUCAAGAAGUUUACGAAAUGUAAAUUCC
rnacentral:lncRNA from 1 species